UGAGGCGAAACAGCAACACCCUUACUGAAGCCAAUGGCCUUAUCAGGCCUAUUUAAAACCUGCGAGAGGAGGAGAUCAGGAACAAAGGAAAUACAUAAGGUGCAAAUGAAGACAGAAUUUGGAUGAAGAUCUAUUAACUCUUCUUUUCUGACAGCCUGCAAGAUUGGGAGACCUAGUUCUUCCUCAGAGGAUGAACAAGCCUUAGGACUACUACUGGUUUUCUCAUUCUGUUCUUGUUCAGUGUGAAGGAAAAAUACACUUCUCAGAACCAGCCAGUCUCAGUUAAGCCAGGGAGGAUCUCUGAGGAAAACACUGAUCUAAAAUGCC